CCUACAUCUCCCCUUAGUUCUACUCUGAAGUCUCCUUCCACAUUCUCCAGAACAUAAAGAGAAUAAUCAUUUUCCAUGAAUUCCUAUAUGGAUUUUUAAAAGAACACAACAGUACUGAACUAUCUGAAGUACUCAUUCCUGAAAAUCAUGAACAUGGACACAAAUUCUACCUCUAUCAACUUUUAUUUAAAUCAGUGGAUAUUUAUGUAAUGUGUUUUGGUUUAAAAGAAUUGUAUCUAGCACUAUUAAUACAUAUUUGUUCUGGCACAUAUAUGAAAAUAUAUACCUAGAUACAAUUCUUUUAAACCAAAACACAUUACAUAAAUAUCCACUGAUUUAAAUAAAAGUUGAUAGAGGUAGAAUUUGUGUCCAUGUUCAUGAUUUUCAGGAAUGAGUACUUCAGAUAGUUCAG
rnacentral:lncRNA from 1 species